rnacentral:rRNA from 1 species
UACCAGACUCCUACGGGAGGCAGCAGUGGGGAAUAUUGCACAAUGGGGGAAACCCUGAUGCAGCGACGCCGCGUGAGCGAUGAAGUAUUUCGGUAUGUAAAGCUCUAUCAGCAGGGAAGAAGAUGACGGUACCUGACUAAGAAGCCCCGGCUAACUACGUGCCAGCAGCCGCGGUAAUACGUAGGGGGCAAGCGUUAUCCGGAUUUACUGGGUGUAAAGGGAGCGUAGACGGCGAUGCAAGCCAGAUGUGAAAGCCCGGGGCUCAACCCCGGGACUGCUCUGGAAACUGUACGGCUGGAGUGCAGGAGAGGUAAGUGGAAUUCCUAGUGUAGCGGUGAAAUGCGUAGAUAUUAGGAGGAACACCAGUGGCGAAGGCGGCUUACUGGACUGUAACUGACGUUGAGGCUCGAAAGCGUGGGGAGCAAACAGGAUUAGAUACCCUCGUA